AGCAGCCGCGGUAAUUCCAGCUCCAAUAGCGUAUAUUAAAGUUGUUGCAGUUAAAAAGCUCGUAGUUGAAUUUCGGGGUUAGUAGGUUGGUCAUGCCUCUGGUAUGUACUGGUCUCACUGAUUCCUCCUUCCUGAUGAAUCUUAAUGCCAUUAAUUUGGUGUUUUGGGGAAUUUGGACUGUUACUUUGAAAAAAUUAGAGUGUUUAAAGCAAGCUAACGCUUGAAUACAUUAGCAUGGAAUAAUGAAAUAGGACGUUCGAUCCUAUUUUGUUGGUUUCUAGGAUUGACGUAAUGAUUAAUAGGGAUAGUUGGGGGCAUUAGUAUUCAAUUGUCAGAGGUGAAAUUCUUGGAUUUAUUGAAGACUAACUACUGCGAAAGCAUUUGCCAAGGAUGUUUUCAUUAAUCAAGAACGAAAGUUAGGGGAUCGAAGACGAUCAGAUACCGACGUAGUCUUAACCAUAAACUAUGCCGACUAGGGAUCGGAUGAUGUUAAUUUUUUAAUGACUCA
rnacentral:rRNA from 1 species